rnacentral:rRNA from 1 species
UGGCGACCGGCGCACGGGUGCGUAACGCGUAUGCAACCUACCUGUAACAGGGGGAUAACACUGAGAAAUCGGUACUAAUACCGCAUAACACUAUGAGAGGCAUCUCUUGUGGUUGAAAGUUUCGGCGGUUACAGAUGGGCAUGCGUUGUAUUAGCUGGUUGGUAAGGUAACGGCUUACCAAGGCGACGAUACAUAGGGGGGACUGAGAGGUUAACCCCCCACAUUGGUACUGAGACACGGACCAAACUCCUACGGAAGGCAGCAG